rnacentral:sRNA from 1 species
AGCACUGCUUCCGGUCGGUGGCGCUUCUCUCUGGCCCGAGCCAGGUCAGUCCGGGAGUGCAGAUGGCCCAUCCCGGGCUCUGGGCUCCUAGACCAGGGGUGGGCCCUGCCAGGAGUGGGCCUGAGCCUCGCACGUCCUCUGAAACUACGCUAUGCUCUGCUUUUGCGGCGCGAUGGGCGUGGGAGCGGGGGCUGCCCAAAGAUGGGCUGGGGUUGGAGGAAGUGGCCCGGUAGCCGCUGUGUGUCCUGAGGCCGUAAGGCGCCUGACCCCACCCUUGAAGCUGGCGACGGAGCAGGGCCUGUUUUCUCUACACUAUAGUCAUGAUCCGCUGGGCCCCCAGCGCAUCUCCUGGAAGAGCCCACUCACCCUGGACGAGCUCUUCGGUAGCCUCAGACCGUCCUUGAAGAGGAUGACUGAGACAUUAUGGGCCACGCGCUGUGUGUCUGCUCUCGGGGAACUGUCAUCAUUGACAAUAAGCGCUACCUCUUCAUCCAGAAACUGGGGGAGGGCGGGUUCAGCUAUGUGGACCUAGUGGAAGGGUUACAUGAUGGACACUUCUACGCCCUGAAGCGAAUCCUGUGUCACGAGCAGCAGGACCGGGAGGAGGCCCAGCGAGAAGCCGACAUGCAUCGCCUCUUCAAUCACCCCAACAUCCUUCGCCUCGUGGCUUACUGUCUGAGGGAACGGGGUGCUAAGCAUGAGGCCUGGCUGCUGCUACCAUUCUUCAAGAGAGGUACGCUGUGGAAUGAGAUAGAAAGGCUGAAGGACAAAGGCAACUUCCUGACCGAGGAUCAAAUCCUUUGGCUGCUGCUGGGGAUCUGCAGAGGCCUUGAGGCCAUUCAUGCCAAGGGUUAUGCCCACAGGGACUUGAAGCCCACCAAUAUAUUGCUUGGAGAUGAGGGGCAGCCAGUUUUAAUGGACUUGGGUUCCAUGAAUCAAGCAUGCAUCCAUGUGGAGGGCUCUCGCCAGGCUCUGACCCUGCAGGACUGGGCAGCCCAGCGGUGCACCAUCUCCUACCGAGCCCCAGAGCUCUUCUCUGUGCCGAGUCACUGUGUCAUCGAUGAGCGGACUGAUGUCUGGGUGAGGAGCAUGUGGGUGGGUAUCUGGGUAGGGAGGGCUGUGGCUCUGUACCCACCGUGGAGUAGAGUAGUUCGUUGGUUUCUGUUGCAUGGGGCCCCAGGAACCACAAUAUGUCCCCAUCCACUUCAACUUCCUUCCUGGGAAAUGUCACUGAUACUGUACCCAGUUGUACCGGAUGUGGUAUAAUCCGUGCCCCUGAACAAGGUGAGUACAGCUCAGUGUCAGUAGUGAAGGCACUGGCUAAGCAGGGGCUAAGCUAAACAGGGGCUGCGGAGGCCUCCAGCUGACUGGCAGUUUCUCUGGACCCUGGUGGUGCCAUGUGGCUGAGGUCAGCGUAUUCUUUUUAGCUUAUGUAGUCUCCUUUUACCACAGAAGUAAAGGGAGAGAUGUCACCUCCACUGGUCCCCUUCUAGGGACUAACCAAGUUAUGCUCA